GGGUGAAAGGCCAAUCAAACCGGGAGAUAGCUGGUUCUCCCCGAAAGCUAUUUAGGUAGCGCCUCGUGAAUUCAUCUCCGGGGGUAGAGCACUGUUUCGGCUAGGGGGCCAUCCCGGCUUACCAACCCGAUGCAAACUGCGAAUACCGGAGAAUGUUAUCACGGGAGACACACGGCGGGUGCUAACGUCCGUCGUGAAGAGGGAAACAACCCAGACCGCCAGCUAAGGUCCCAAAGUCAUGGUUAAGUGGGAAACGAUGUGGGAAGGCCCAGACAGCCAGGAUGUUGGCUUAGAAGCAGCCAUCAUUUAAAGAAAGCGUAAUAGCUCACUGGUCGAGUCGGCCUGCGCGGAAGAUGUAACGGGGCUAAACCAU
rnacentral:rRNA from 1 species